rnacentral:rRNA from 1 species
CGUACACUCCUGCGGGAGGCAGCAGUGGGGAAUAUUGCACAAUGGGCGCAAGCCUGAUGCAGCCAUGCCGCGUGUAUGAAGAAGGCCUUCGGGUUGUAAAGUACUUUCAGCGGGGAGGAAGGCGAUAAGGUUAAUAACCUUGUUGAUUGACGUUACCCGCAGAAGAAGCACCGGCUAACUCCGUGCCAGCAGCCGCGGUAAUACGGAGGGUGCAAGCGUUAAUCGGAAUUACUGGGCGUAAAGCGCACGCAGGCGGUCUGUCAAGUCGGAUGUGAAAUCCCCGGGCUCAACCUGGGAACUGCAUUAGAAACUGGCAGGCUAGAGUCUUGUAGAGGGGGGUAGAAUUCCAGGUGUAGCGGUGAAAUGCGUAGAGAUCUGGAGGAAUACCGGUGGCGAAGGCGGCCCCCUGGACAAAGACUGACGCUCAGGUGCGAAAGCGUGGGGAGCAAACAGGAUUAGAAACCCGAGUAGUCC